rnacentral:rRNA from 1 species
GAUGAACGCUGGCGGCGUGCCUAAUACAUGCGAGUCGAGCGAACGGACGAGAAGCUUGCUUCUCUGAUGUUAGCGGCGGACGGGUGAGUAACACGUGGAUAACCUACCUAUAAGACUGGGAUAACUUCGGGAAACCGGAGCUAAUACCGGAUAAUAUUUUGAACCGCAUGGUUCAAAAGUGAAAGACGGUCUUGCUGUCACUUAUAGAUGGAUCCGCGCUACAUUAGCUAGUUGGUAAGGUAACGGCCUACCAAGGCAACGAUGCAUAGCCGACCUGAGAGGGUGAUCGGCCACACUGGAACUGAGACACGGUCCAGACUCCUACGGGAGGCAGCAGUAGGGAAUCUUCCGCAAUGGGCGAAAGCCUGACGGAGCAACGCCGCGUGAGUGAUGAAGGUCUUCGGAUCGUAAAACUCUGUUAUUAGGGAAGAACAUAUGUGUAAGUAACUGUGCACAUCUUGACGGUACCUAAUCAGAAAGCCACGGCUAACUACGUG